rnacentral:rRNA from 1 species
GUAGGGUGCGAGCGUUAUCCGGGAAUCAUUGGGCGUAAAGAGCUCGUAGGCGGUUCAGCAAGUCGGCUGUGAAAUUCCGAGGGCUCAACCUCGGAACUGCAGUCGAUACUGCUGUGACUCGAGUCCGGUAGAGGAGAAUGGAAUUCCCGGUGUAGCGGUGAAAUGCGCAGAUAUCGGGAGGAACACCAGUAGCGAAGGCGGUUCUCUGGGCCGGCACUGACGCUGAGGAGCGAAAGCGUGGGUAGCAAACAGGAUUAGAUACCCUGGUAGUCCACGCCGUAAACGUUGGAUACUAGGUGUGGCGUUCCGACCAACGGUCGCCGUGCCGAAGCUAACGCAUUAAGUAUCCCGCCUGGGGAGUACGGCCGCAAGGCUA